rnacentral:rRNA from 1 species
GUGGGGAAUUUUGGACAAUGGGCGCAAGCCUGAUCCAGCAAUGCCGCGUGCAGGAAGAAGGCCUUCGGGUUGUAAACUGCUUUUGUACGGAACGAAACGGUCCUGGUUAAUACCUGGGGCUAAUGACGGUACCGUAAGAAUAAGCACCGGCUAACUACGUGCCAGCAGCCGCGGUAAUACGUAGGGUGCGAGCGUUAAUCGGAAUUACUGGGCGUAAAGCGUGCGCAGGCGGUGCUGUAAGACAGGCGUGAAAUCCCCGGGCUCAACCUGGGAAUUGCGCUUGUGACUGCAGUGCUGGAGUACGGCAGAGGGGGAUGGAAUUCCGCGUGUAGCAGUGAAAUGCGUAGAUAUGCGGAGGAACACCGAUGGCGAAGGCAGUCCCCUGGGCCUGUACUGACGCUCAUGCACGAAAGCGUGGGGAGCAAACAGGAUUAGAUACCCCGGUAGUCC